UACAGAGGGUGCGAGCGUUGUCCGGAAUCACUGGGCGUAAAGGGCGCGUAGGUGGUUCGGUAAGUGUGUGGUGAAAGCCCGGGGCUCAACCCCGGGUCUGCCAUGCAAACUGCUGAACUUGAGCAUACUAGAGGCAGGUAGAAUUUCGGGUGUAGCGGUGGAAUGCGUAGAGAUCCGAAAGAACACCGGUGGCGAAGGCGGCCUGCUGGGGUAGAGCUGACACUGAGGCGCGACAGCGUGGGGAGCAAAC
rnacentral:rRNA from 1 species